AACGAACGCUGGCGGCAUGCCUAACACAUGCAAGUCGAACGAGACCUUCGGGUCUAGUGGCGCACGGGUGCGUAACGCGUGGGAACCUGCCCUUAGGUUCGGAAUAACUCCCCGAAAGGGGUGCUAAUACCGGAUAAUGUCUUCGGACCAAAGAUUUAUCGCCUUUGGAUGGGCCCGCGUUGGAUUAGCUAGUUGGUAGGGUAAAAGCCUACCAAGGCGACGAUCCAUAGCUGGUCUGAGAGGAUGAUCAGCCACACUGGGACUGAGACACGGCCCAGACUCCUGCGGGAGGCAGCAGUGGGGAAUAUUGGACAAUGGGCGAAAGCCUGAUCCAGCAAUGCCGCGUGAGUGAUGAAGGCAGUAGGGUUGUAAAGCUCUUUUACCCGGGAGGAUAAUGACAGUACCGGGAGAAUAAGCGCCGGCUAACUCCGUG
rnacentral:rRNA from 1 species